GCAGUUACAGCUCAGUGGUAAAGUGUGUGCUUAGCGUGCAUGAGGGCCUGGGUUCAAUCCCCAGUACCUCCA
rfam:Camelus ferus unplaced genomic scaffold scaffold471, whole genome shotgun sequence.